CACACACACACUGGCUUGUGUACCCCAGGGGCUCUUCCCUUUAGCUCCAUGAAGCCUGCCAGCUUUGAACUGGAGGAAGGGAAAGAAGGGAGCUUAGGUGAAAGCCAGACAGCUUUGGGGGUUAUGGAGGUAAAAGUGGGGCCUUGAGCUCUUUUCUCAGUUCCCUUCCAGGAAAAAGGGGAUUACUGUGGCAGGGUCCAAAGCUACGACAGCCAGAAGCUUCUAAGAGGUCUAUGGAGCCAGCCUCCUGUGCAGCCUAGCAGCCGUGGCAGAGGCUACUGGUCGAGUAAUAAUCAGAACAAUGGUUCCCAGUUACCUGUUCCUCACUAUGUACUCAUUAAUGUACUGAACAGUUAGCAAGUGGUUUUCUUUUGUAAUUUAAUUUAAUUUAUUUUUUUUAAGACAGAUUCUCAUUCAUUGCCCAGGCUGGACUACAGUGGCGCGAUCCUGGCUCACUGCAACCUCUGCCUCCCCGGUUCAAGCAAUUCUCUUGCCUCAGUCUCCCCAGCAGCUGGGAUUACAGGCAUCUGCUACCAUGCACAGCUAAUUUUUGUAUUUUUAGUAGAGAUGGGAUUUCAACAAGUUGGCCAGGCUGGUCUCGAACUCCUGAUCUCAGAUGAUCCACCCACCUUGGCCUUGCAAAGUGUUGGGAUUACAGGCAUGAGCCACCAUGCCGGGCCUGCAGGUGUUAUUUCUUUGGUGAUUUCUAUUAUCAUCCCCAUUUUACAGAUGGGGAACCUGAGGCACAGAGAAGCUAGGUAACAUCUCCAAGGUCAUACAGGGGUAGGAGGCAGGGGUAGGAGGCUGCCAGCUCCAACCAGGAAGCUCCUUGAAUAAGAAAGCUCCUAAAACUCCUAAAGCUCCAACCAGAAAACAAACAGGCCAAGCAGACUAGCUAACCAUCCUUCCCCCAUCAAGACAUCACCAGCUAGAGUUGACUGGGGAGGUGGAAGUGAAGCAGAAGUCCCCAUCCUCACAACUCUGCCCCUUUCCCUGAAGCGAAAGAACAGGCACCAGUCUCCCAGAAGCCCUUGCUGGUUUCAGAGAGUCUUUUCUCCUUCCUGCUGAGGGAUAUCUGGAAGCUGGGCAGAGGUGAAGGCCUCUGGGCUACAAGAACUGAGGGCAAUAAAAUGGUCAGUAGUGGGUCCCCUGGCAGAAAGGAGACUGAGGGGCAAGGAGCCAAGUGCUGCAUACAGAGAGUGGGGUCUGGAUGAAGGCAGGGUGGGAAGUAGGGAGAGAAGAAAGCCCAGAAGGACUUGUCUUGAAGAUUGAAGUUUCUUACCAACCUGAGCUGCACUACCGAAGCAGUAGAGUCCAGACCAACGGCCAAAAACAUGGGCUCUGGGGCCAGAGAGACUGGCCCAGCUCCAUCACUUACUAGCAAUAUGACCUUGGGCAUGGCACUUCAACUCUCUAAGUUUGGUUCCUUGGCCAUAAAACUGGGGUGCCCCUAAGAUCUACUACGGGGGGCUGCAGUGAAAAUCAGGGAGGGUGGAUGUGACACCCUCAGGGCAGCGCCUGCCCCGUACUAGAUGCCACAUUGAGAUUAGCUGCUAUUACUCUUUGGUCCUAACCUCAGUUGCUGUGGACAGCUGAAUACUGUCUCCUAAAAGAUGUCCGUGUCCCAAUCCCCAGAACCCAUGAAUAUAUAUGUGAUCUUAUAUGACAAAAAGGUCUGUGCAGAUGUGAUUAAGGAUCUUGACAAGAGGAGAGUGUCCUGUCUUAUCCAGGUGGGACCACACUAGUCACAAUGGACUUAAAUAGGGAAGAGGGAGGCAGGAGGGUCAGAGAGAAGAUGUGGUGACACCAGGCAAGCAGAGUUCAGAAAUGCAGCCGUGAACCGAAGACUGCAAGUGGCCUCUACAAGCUGGAAAGACAAAGGAACAGAUUCUUCCCUGGAGCCUCCAGAAGAAACACAGCCCUGCUGACUAAUGCCUUGACUUUAGCCCGGUGAAACCCAUUCAGACUUCUGACCUCCAGAGCUAUAAGGGGACCGACCUUUCUUCCUCAUGGCUUUGUGAACACCAUAUUCUUCACCCAGGCCACUGCAUCUGCCUGCUUCCCAGCUUAUCAGGACAGCCAGGUAGUCCAGCAAGGGCAGCCAUAGUGACUGUGGAGAGAAGCAUAACUGGAAUAGUGAGCAUGCCUCCAGGUUGCAUACAAGACCAGAGCAACCACAGCAAACCAAGGUCAGGGCCAGAGCUGCUGCUUCACCUUGUAUCCCCGUGGCACCUGUCCAGGGGCUCUCACUGGGGGCCUGCUGGGAAAUGUGCGUUGAAUCAAAUUGACAAUAAUUACCACCGGCUUCAGGACGGGCGCAGUGAGAGUUGGCCCUGUCUGCUGGGCCCUCCCCUGCAGCUCUCCUCAGGGCCUGGGAACACCCUGAGCUCCACCCCUACGCUGUACAGAUCAACGAAUUGACUGCCCAAGUAAGCUAAGUGGGUUAUGACACAGCUUUCAAAGUCAGCAACAAAUAAUCACUGACUGCUAAUGGUCUAUAAAGCACACACUUAUGAAGAAGCCAGCCAGAUGAAUCCAACAGGACCCGAGGCAGCCUGUUGCUUCCAAGGCUGGCCUGUGAUCUCUGUUGUGCUGGGUCCCCUGCCUCACUCCAGAUGUGCUAGGUUAAGAAGCCUAUGGUGCUUUGGGUGCUUCUGAUGAGGAGCCUGGAGGAUAGUGCCAUGCAGGAGCCAGAAAGAGGACCAGGCUCUCGGGGCCAGCCCUCUGCUCAGGCUCCAGCCAUAGCUGUCAUGAGCACUCCAAGCAGGCAAGCAGACCUCUACUAGAGUUCUGGGCCUUCACAGGAUGGCGGAGGCAGAGCAGUUAGGGGCCAGCUCCAGGCUCUAGACAGAGGAGGGAACCGGGUUGGAAGAGUAGCCAAGACACCAAGGCAUACCAGGCUGGGUCAGGGCCUGCCACAGAGUGUCACAUAUGCUCAUGGGUGACAUGACUAUUCUUGUUGCUGUCGACAUACACUGUUACAUUGCUUCCAGGAAUGGCCUCAUCUUCUCUUCACUGCCUAGGUAGGAGUUAAGAUAGAGCGGCAUCAUCAGUAACUGAUUCUGGGCCACUGUAGGGUGCUCCCUUUAGGAAAAUUGGGACACGCACCACUGGGGUCCAGUGAUACGAAAGUGGGUAAUCCUGUUGAAAUUGUCAACGGUAGAAAGGAAAGUUUGAGAUGGGAAUUACAUGCGACCCUUCAGGAACAUCUGAAUCCUCAGAGCUUCCUGCAAAUCAUGGCUGCCUGCCUGGAGGAGAGGGUGUUUAAAGACUGUUAGAGACAUCCAUAGGGUUGAAUAGGGCCCAUAUGGAUGAGCAGGUGACCAGCUCAGGCUUCCUUCAGGUAGGGGAGGUUGGAGAUGCUGGAUGAUCUCCCAGGUGAUUCCAGCAUUUGCUGGAGCUUACAGCCAACAGUCAAUCCAGCAAUCCCAGCAGGUCACUGGCCAGGACCAGCCGUGGAUCCUACUCUGCCAGGGUGAGCCGCUGUUCAGGACAUGCUCUUGCUUGUCUCCCCUCCUUCCUUCCCCCUCUUCCCUUUGCCUCCUGCCCUGGCCCUCCUUUUUCUGCCCCACACUCCCACCACCUCAACUGUCUAAUACCCAGGUCUCCUCCAGGGGCCCCACAUUCUCUGCCACUUGGAGAGCUCCCUGCUUCUGACCUUGAUGAGUUUUCCCCCGUACAGUGCCUCUUCUGAAUUCUGGACCUUUAUCUACCCGGUGCAGAGGCUUCUCUUUGAGAUCCCACUGUCACCUCCACAUCAAAAAACCCCUCCCUUCAGCUCCCUCUGCCUUCCCCCUCCCCCAGCAGCUCUCUCCCAGUCUCUCUCAGUCUCUGCCUGAGGCCUCUCCAACCUGACUUCAGACAGCUGGUCUCUAAGUGCCACAGCAUGGAGAGGUGUUCCCUGACCUUGGCCAUCCUGUGGCUUGUUUCCUCUUCUGCCCCUGCCAUAGUUCCUACACCCAUUCCCCCUCCCUGGCCUCCCGCAACAGCCUCCUCCUAACGAGUCUCUGCCUCCAGUCUUUUCCCUCCUCUGUCUGCUCCCACCUCCCCAUUGAACACUCACUUGAUCACUAGAGCCGCUAAAUCAAAUGCGAAUUUGAUCUGCUCACUCCAGUUCACAGUCUUCAUAGCUCCAGUCCCCACAGGGCCCGGUACUGAUCCAGAUUCCUUACUUCUCCAGGAUCUGCCCAAGCCUCCCCUGUAGUCAGCAGCAGCCUCUGGGUGUCUGUGAGCCACAGUCUGAGAAGCACUGACCCAGUCCAAACUCCUCACUCUCCCGGGGGCGGGGGGUAGCGUGGAAACAAAGCCCAGGGCUCUCUCCUCAUCUCAUGUCACUUGCGACCCUUUCCUGACACUAUGGCCACACACACAGUGCUCUGCUCAUUGCUCAGAAAAGGCACAAAUUUCUCCUUGCCACUCCCUUUGCCUGGGCUAGACAGAGGGAGCAGGCCAAGGUUAUGGAGCAGGGUGGUGUCGGGUUCAGGCAAACUCAACUGGCACAGCCAGCCUUUGGCAGUGCCAGGACAGGGUGCUUCAGCAGGUACAGCUGGCAGGUGCAAUAGGGCAAUAGCUGAGAUGGCCUUUGUGACAAGGAGAUUAGUGGCCAUAUGGGGAAAUUGAGCAAAAAAAAAAUAUGUUGAGGAUUAUAAGAAUCAGGUUUCUUGGCACGGGUGGGGAGGGAAGUGUAAAUAUGGAAGAGUGGCAUGCAAGAAUCAACUCUGAUUGUUGGAUUCAAAUGGCAAGAAUUGGUGUGAAUUCCCGGUUUUAGAUAGAUAGCUGUUUUUCCCCUGUGUCGUCACAUUACAGAAGGGGUAAGGGAGCUCUCUGAGGCCUCUUCUUUUUUUUUUUCUUUUCUUUUUUUUUUUUUUUUUUUUUUUUUUUUGAGACAGAGUCUCGCUCUGUCACCCAGGCUGGAGUGCAGUGGCAUGAUCUUGGCUCACUGCAACCUCUGCCUCCCAGGUUCAAGCAAUUCCCCUGUCUCAGCCCCCUGAGUAGCUGGGAUUACAGGCACACACCACCAUGCCCGGCUAAUUUUUGUAUUUUUAGUGGAGAUGGCGUUUCACGAAGUUUGCCAGGCUGGUCUCGAACUCCUAACCUCGUGAUCCACCCACCUCGGCCUCCCAAAGUGCUGGGAUUACAGGUGUGAGCCACGGCACCUGUCCGGGGGGCCUCUUCUUAUGUAGGCAUUAAUCCCAUUCAUGAGGGCCCCAUCCUCAUGACCUAAUCACCUCCCCAAGGCCCCACCUCAUAAUACCAUCACCUUGUGUGUGGCAAUUUCAGCACAGGAAUUUGGGAAAGGGACAUACAGAGUCAAUCUAUAGUAGCGUGUGUGCAUGUGCAUGAUUAUACAUCCAUCUGUUUCCUAGUUCUGUCCGCUGAGAGGGCCUAGAAGCAAUGACACCCUGGUGGCAAUGAGCAUACCCAGCACCCAGAUCUUAGUUUCUGAAUAAUAUUGUCCACUGAAAGGAACCAGGUUUCUUAAGAGGAAUGGUUGAUUCCCUGGGACAGUGAAGUUUCAAGAUGAACCUGAAACAUCCGGUGCUGCCAAGAAAGUCAGGAUGUGUUCAAAGAAUGAUGGGACCAUGAGAAAAGGGGCUGCCACUGACCAAGUCUGGGACGAUAUGAGCAUCAAAAUAAACAACGAAUUGUAUAUAAACCAUGGAAUAGGAGUUCAUGAGCCCAUGCCGAUAUAAACAAACAGGCAAACAAAUGGGAGAGAAGGGAAGGCCCUUCCUAGAGCAGAACGCCAGCUAAUAAAUGUAGAAGGAACGAUAGCAUGAGAAAAUCAUAAUUUGGCAACCAUAAUGAUAACAACUAAUUCAGGCAGGAAGUAUCAAUAGAUGCUAAAACUAGUGGGUGAAAGUUUAAUGAGGAACAGAAAUUUAUACAAUCGCAAGAUACCUCCCCCGAUACUUAUUAAUUGUUUAUAAAUUAAUAAGUACAAAAGCCCUGCUAAUUCACGUUACAGUGGAAAGAUCUGACAAAUAACACUUUAAUCAAGUGAUCAAAGUUAAUGUUAUCAGUAAUGAUAGCAUUAUCGUUAUUCCGUAUCAUUACUCCAUAUUACAUUAAUCCAUAUUAUAUGCCACCUGAUAGGGUGUACUGAGAACACAUCACUCCCAAGGUAUUCCAGAGGGAAUAUCAAGCAAAUCCAAACUGAGGGACAUUCUAUAUAAUACUUGGCCUGUACUCUUCAAAAAUGUCAAGGUCAUAAGGAACAAGGAAAGACUGAGUAACUAUUCCAGAUUGCAGUAGACCAAAGAGACAACACAACUACAUGCAACAUAUGGUCUGGGAUUGGAUCCUGGACGAGAAAGAAAACCAGGAAAAAUAAAGUUGUUGUUGAUGAUGAUGAUGAUGUUGAUGAUGAUGGCAAAGAUUUUUGUUUGUUUGUUUGUUGUUUUCACUACAAAGAGCAUUAAUUAUUUGGACAAUCAGGGAAAUUUAAGUAAAAUCUAUGGAUUAGGUAAUGUCAAAUGCUAAUUUCCUGAUUCUCAUUGGUGUACUAUGGUUUUGUAGGACAGUGUCUUUAAUUUUAGAAAACACACACUCAACUAUUUAGGGGUAAUGGAGCGUCAGGUCAGCAACUUACUUUCAAAUGAUUUGGUAAAAAUAAUAGUGAGAGAGACAGAGCAGGAGAGAGAGAACCAUAAGACACAUAUGGUAAAAUGUUAACAAUUGGGAAUCCACAGAAAGGUUAAAGAGGUAAAGAGUCCUUUUGUUUUGUUUUGUUUUGCUUUGUUUUGAGACAGUGUCUCACACUGCCACAGGCUGGGAUGCAGCGGCGCAAUCAUAACUCACUGCAGCCUCUAUCUCCUGGGCUCAAGCCAUCCUCCCACCUCAGCCUCCUGAGUAGCUGGGGCUACAGGCACAUGGCACCACAGCUGGCUAAUUUUUAUUUUAUUUUAUUUUUAGUAGAGAUGUGGUCUCAUUAUGUUGCCUAGGCUGGUCUCAAACUCCUGGCCUCAAGUGAUCCUCCCACC
rnacentral:lncRNA from 1 species